AUCCGUGCGGCGGAGGUACACCCGGUUACAUCCCGAACCCGGCCGUUAAGCCCGCCAGCGCCGAUGGUACUGCCCCGGUAGCGGGGUGGGAGAGUAGGUCAUUGCCAAGA
rnacentral:rRNA from 1 species